GGGGGUGUAGCUCAGCUGGGAGAGCACCUGCCUUGCAAGCAGGGGGUCAGGAGUUCGAUUCUCCUCAUCUCCACCA
rnacentral:tRNA from 67 species